CGUAAACGAUGUCGACUUGGAGGUUGUGCCCUGAGGCGUGGCUUCUGGAGCUAACGCGUUAAGUCGACCGCUGGGGAGUACGGCCGCAAGGUUAAAACUCAAAUGAAUUGACGGGGGCCCGCACAGCGGUGGAGCAUGUGGUUUAAUUCGAUGCAACGCGAAGAACCUUACCUGGCCUUGACAUCCAGAGAACUUAGCAGAGAUGCUUUGGUGCCUUCGGGAACUCUGAGACAGGUGCUGCAUGGCUGUCGUCAGCUCGUGUUGUGAAAUGUUGGGUUAAGUCCCGCAACGAGCGCAACCCUUAUCCUUUGUUGCCAGCGGUUCGGCCGGGAACUCAAAGGAGACUGCCGGUGAUAAACCGGAGGAAGGUGGGGAUGACGUCAAGUCAUCAUGGCCCUUACGGCCAGGGCUACACACGUGCUACAAUGGCGCAUACAAAGAGAAGCGACCUCGCGAGAGCAAGCGGACCUCAUAAAGUGCGUCGUAGUCCGGAUUGGAGUCUGCAACUCGACUCCAUGAAGUCGGAAUCGCUAGUAAUCGUAGAUCAGAAUGCUACGGUGAAUACGUUCCCGGGCCUUGUACACACCGCCCGUCACACCAUGGGAGUGGGUUGCAAAAGAAGUAGGUAGCUUAACCUCCGGGAGGGCGCUUACCACUUUGUGAUUCAUGACUGGGGUGAAGUCGUAACAAGGUAACCAAGGGCGAAUUCUG
rnacentral:rRNA from 1 species